AUUGAACGCUGGCGGCAGGCUUAACACAUGCAAGUCGAACGAGUGGCGGACGGGUGAGUAAUGCUUGGGAAACUAGCUUAUGGAGGGGGAUAACUACGGGAAACGGUAGCUAAUACCGCGUACCAUAGGAUGAGCCCAAGUGGGAUUAGGUAGUUGGUGAGGUAAAGGCUCACCAAGCCGACGAUCUCUAGCUGGUCUGAGGGGAUGACCAGCCAGACGGGAAUUGAGAAACGGCCCAGACUCCACCGGGAGGAAGAGGUGGGAAAUAUUGCGAAAGGGGGGCAACCUGACGCAGCCAUGCCGCGUGGAUGAAAAGGGCCUUCGGGUGGUAAAGUUCUUUCGGUAGCGAGGCUUUCACUACGGGAGAAGCACCGGCAAACUCCGUGCCAGCGGCCGCGGUAUUUC
rnacentral:rRNA from 1 species